GACGGGGGGGCAAGUGUUCUUCGGAAUGACUGGGCGUAAAGGGCACGUAGGCGGUGAAUCGGGUUGAAAGUGAAAGUCGCCAAAAGUGGCGGAAUGCUCUCGAAACCAAUUCACUUGAGUGAGACAGAGGAGAGUGGAAUUUCGUGUGUAGGGUGAAAUCCGAUGAGAUCGUAACGAAGGAAACGCCAAAAGCGAAGGCAGCUCUCUGGGU
rnacentral:rRNA from 1 species